rnacentral:rRNA from 1 species
UGAACGCUAGCUACAGGCUUAACACAUGCAAGUCGAGGGGCAGCAUUUCAGUUUGCUUGCAAACUGGAGAUGGCGACCGGCGCACGGGUGAGUAACACGUAUCCAACCUGCCGAUAACUCGGGGAUAGCCUUUCGAAAGAAAGAUUAAUACCCGAUGGUAUAAUCAGACCACAUGGUUUGAUUAUUAAAGAAUUUCGGUUAUCGAUGGGGAUGCGUUCCAUUAGGCAGUUGGUGAGGUAACGGCUCACCAAACCUUCGAUGGAUAGGGGUUCUGAGAGGAAGGUCCCCCACAUUGGAACUGAGACACGGUCCAAACUCCUACGGGAGGCAGCAGUGAGGAAUAUUGGUCAAUGGGCGCAGGCCUGAACCAGCCAAGUAGCGUGAAGGAUGACUGCCCUAUGGGUUGUAAACUUCUUUUAUAUGGGAAUAAAGUUUUCCACGUGUGGAAUUUUGUAUGUACCAUAUGAAUAAGGAUCGGCUAACUCCGUGCCAGCAGCCGCGGUAAUACGGAGGAUCCGAGCGUUAUCCGGAUUUAUUGGGUUUAAAGGGAGCGUAGGUGGACAGUUAAGUCAGUUGUGAAAGUUUGCGGCUCAACCGUAAAAUUGCAGUUGAUACUGGCUGUCUUGAGUACAGUAGAGGUGGGCGGAAUUCGUGGUGUAGCGGUGAAAUGCUUAGAUAUCACGAAGAACUCCGAUUGCGAAGGCAGCUCACUGGACUGCAACUGACACUGAUGCUCGAAAGUGUGGGUAUCAAACAGGAUUAGAUACCCUGGUAGUCCACACAGUAAACGAUGAAUACUCGCUGUUUGCGAUAUACAGUAAGCGGCCAAGCGAAAGCAUUAAGUAUUCCACCUGGGGAGUACGCCGGCAACGGUGAAACUCAAAGGAAUUGACGGGGGCCCGCACAAGCGGAGGAACAUGUGGUUUAAUUCGAUGAUACGCGAGGAACCUUACCCGGGCUUAAAUUGCAUUUGAAUAAUCUGGAAACAGGUUAGCCGCAAGGCAAAUGUGAAGGUGCUGCAUGGUUGUCGUCAGCUCGUGCCGUGAGGUGUCGGCUUAAGUGCCAUAACGAGCGCAACCCUUAUCUUUAGUUACUAACAGGUCAUGCUGAGGACUCUAGAGAGACUGCCGUCGUAAGAUGUGAGGAAGGUGGGGAUGACGUCAAAUCAGCACGGCCCUUACGUCCGGGGCUACACACGUGUUACAAUGGGGGGUACAGAAGGCAGCUACCUGGUGACAGGAUGCUAAUCCCAAAAGCCUCUCUCAGUUCGGAUCGAAGUCUGCAACCCGACUUCGUGAAGCUGGAUUCGCUAGUAAUCGCGCAUCGGCCAUGGCGCGGUGAAUACGUUCCCGGGCCUUGUACACACCGCCCGUCAAGCCAUGAAAGCCGGGGGUACCUGAAGUACGUAACCGCAAGGAGCGUCCUAGGGUAAAACUGGUAAA